rnacentral:rRNA from 1 species
CCUACGGGUGGCAGCAGUGAGGAAUAUUGGUCAAUGGGCGAGAGCCUGAACCAGCCAAGUCGCGUGAGGGAGUACUGCCCUAUGGGUUGUAAACCUCUUUUGUCGGGGAGCAAAAGCCGGACGUGUCCGGCUGUGAGAGUACCCGAAGAAAAAGCAUCGGCUAACUCCGUGCCAGCAGCCGCGGUAAUACGGGGGGUGCGAGCGUUAUCCGGAUUUAUUGGGUUUAAAGGGGGCGCAGGCGGAUUUUUGAGUCAGCGGUAAAAUCGUGGGGCUCAACCCCAUCCAGCCGUUGAAACUGGGGAUCUAGAGUGUGCGAGAGGUAUGCGGAAUGCGUGGUGUAGCGGUGAAAUGCAUAGAUAUCACGCAGAACCCCGAUUGCGAAGGCAGCAUACCGGUGCACAACUGACGCUCAGGCACGAAAGCGUGGGUAUCGAACAGGAUUAGAUACCCCAGUAGUC